GAGGUUGUGGUUCAGUGGUACACUGCCUGCCUACCAUGCAUGAGGCACAGGGUUCGAUACCCAGAACCACA
rnacentral:tRNA from 1 species